CGCCUCCUUUAAGUGAAAUGAGAUGCCCGAGCGCGGAAAUAACCCGGGGCCAGGAGGAGACCUGUCUUGCUUAUUGCAUCCCUGGGGACUCCUUCCCCUUUAGCUUUCCAACUCCUGGUGUUGCCUUAAACUCCAGAGGGGCUCCGGGCGGGGUACUGGGUGGAGAACUUCCCUUCCAGAUACUUCUCACGCCUUUUCCCAAAGCUCAGGUUUAAAAGGACACCUCCACGUACCUCAGGGGGCCCGGGCGCGGAGGGGGAGCAGUGCCGCUCGGUUAAGUUUCUGAAAGUCAAACCUGGUCCCCUGUCCCUGCUUCCCCGCCCCGGGGGCUCCAGCGGCACGCGGGGAGCUGUGGCUGCUCUGGCAAAGGGGUUGCUGCUGCUUUAAGAGUCGCCUCCCCCUCUCCUCCUUUGACAAUGGUCUGAACCGAGCUCUGCUUCCCAAAGCAAAAUUUGCAAUAUGCCAUUUUUCCGAUGGAUGCUUCUCCUUUUGGCUGCUGACGGAGCCGUGGGAAGAUGCCGAGUAGCUGCCUCGCCACCGAGCCGGGGCACGUUCCGGGAGGGCGCCGGGGCACGCGGGUGUCCAAGCUGCCUUUCUCCUCCCGUUGCUAGGGAAAUGGUCCAGGAGUACUGGAUGUGAGCUUCCCUUCUCGUCAAGCCGGAGACUGCGGUUGUCAUUGAUCAAUUGAAGAAGCAGGACCCGAAAUUACAGACAUUAGCAAUGAUGUGUGAAGUGAUGCCCACGAUUAACGAGGACACCCCAAUGAGCCAAAGGGGGUCCCAAAGCAGUGGCUCGGACUCAGACUCCCAUUUUGAGCAACUGAUGGUGAAUAUGCUUGAUGAAAGGGAUCGUCUUCUAGACACCCUUCGGGAGACCCAGGAAAGCCUCUCACUUGCCCAGCAAAGACUUCAGGAUGUCAUCUAUGACAGAGAUUCACUCCAGAGACAGCUCAAUUCAGCCCUGCCUCAGGAUAUCGAAUCCCUAACAGGAGGGCUGACUGGUUCUAAGGGGGCUGAGCCACCGGUAA